CCGUCUGCCGUAUUGGCCUAGAUAUGGAGUCUCUAUGGAUAGUCGCAGGGAACAAAACCUAAUUUAUACCAGUAACUAAUUGAAGCCUUCCAUCCGGUCAACUUACGGGCAGCCGACGCCCACCACAAUGGCCACACAAACAGAGCCACACGGCAAGGCCCGCUACUCGGGCACAGAACAAAACGACAACCUGAACCAGAGUGGGGACCAGAGCGACCCAGGCGAGGCCAAGUAUCUGCACGACCUGACCCGGGGUCGAGCCGCCAACUUUUACAUUAACGGCGAUGUUUUCUUUCCCGCUAAACGGGUGGUCUACAACCCUAAACAUUUUAAGGAUAUGAGUCAUUACUUAGACUACCUAACGGACAGAAUCGAACCCAAGUUCGGCGCUGUCCGCAAGAUCCACACACCUCGCCACGGUCACCGGGUCAACGACCUACAGGACAUCCAGGAGAAUGCCGCCUACGUGGUGGCUGGGACAGAGCGCUUCAAGCCCUACUCAUACGAUCAAAUUACAGCCAGUGAUAAAAAGAAGUCUUCCCCCUUUAAAUAUGACGUUGAUCCUGUGUAUCAUAACAGACAAUACCUGAACUCCGGGAAAAUACACAAAAUGGAAACUCAAUCAACGUUAAUCAAAGUGUGGCCUAACGGCAGCGACUUGCGAGGACCCCGUCGAGUUCUGCUGACCCCACGAGUCCGACCUUUCACCUUGGAAAAUGUCAUGCUACAGGUCAAUGAGAUGCUCAAAGAAGAUUGUUCUGGAACUGUGGAGAAGCUGUACAUGUUAAAUGGUAUCAAAGUCUCUGAUAUUGACCAGAUAGUACCCAAUGGUCAGUACGUGGCUUGUAGGAAAACAGAGAGAUUUAAAAGGGCCAGAUACAACGAACAGGGGACAAAAAAUUUGGCCACUUCACCAAGACUGGAGCGCAAAUACCUGGCCCCCAUCUACCCACACUCCAACAACAGCACCAUUCACUCCACACCAGAAAGUUCAAAGCCUACGUCACAAAACUCUUUAAAUUCAAACCCACAGAGGAGGAGGCCAACACAGAAGGAAGAAGAUAAAGUUUUUCCUGCAAAGCCAGUUAAAUAUACCAGAAGUAAUGAGAGAGGGAACAAUGUUGAUUAUGACAAACAAGAUGAUGAUGGAGUGUUCAAGGCCAAACAAGCACACAGAGAAACAAAAGGAGCAAAAGAGGUGCCUGACACCCGGCAUACAAAAACUGACUUGCCAGUUGAUUUUCUAGAGGCUGAAGAAGUUGAGGAUGAAACAAUUGAAGAUAAAAAACCCAAAAAAGAUCCCCAAAAGAAAAAAGGAAAUCCUGAUGAAAAUAGCAAAAGGUCACCACCACCAGUUAAUCACCAGAAAAAACAAGAGGAGUUCAAGUCUCCCUCAAAAGCUCAGACUUCAGAAAGUCAAAAACAUGGAAAACCAUCAGAGUCUAAGCCAGCAAAGAAAAUCAAAUCAACUCUUUUGACUGAGUUUGAUGAGGAGGACGAAGCUGCUGCUAAAAUACAAGCUGGAUUCCGAGGUUACCAAACAAGAAAAGAGCUUGGAUUGUUACAAACAAAAACUCCAAAGGCAAAAGAAAAUAAAGAAGAAAAGGCUAAAAAAAAUGAAGUUCCUGAAAAAGUAAAGGAUAAAAAAGAAGAUCCUAAAAAUGCUAAAGCUCAAGAAAAGACAAAGGAUAAAAAAGAAGAGCCAAAGAAUUCAAAAGCUCCUGAAAGGGAAAAAAAGAAAAAAGAAGAGCCAAAUAAUUCUAAAGAACACGCAGCAGCAGCAAAAAUUCAAGCUGGGUUUCGGGGGUAUCAAACUAGAAAAGAGUUAGCUUCUCAGAAAAAUAAAGGCAAAGAUAGUACUCCCAAGACAAAAGAAAAAAAAGAGGAAAAAUCUAAAAAAAAUGAAAACCCAGAGAAGGUUAAAAACAAAAAAGAAGAGCCGAAUAAUUCUAAAGAACAUGAAGCUGCAGCAAAGAUUCAAGCAGGGUUUCGAGGGUAUCAAACUAGAAAACUUCUAGCUGAAGGAAAGAAAAAGGCAGCUAAAGUUGAAAGUCAGGAAAAGCCAGGGAAAGUAGCUAAAGUUGAGAGUCAGGACAAGCCUGUCAAAGACAAGAAAGGGGCUUCAAAAAAAGAUCCUGAGCAAGAAAGAUGGGAAGAAGAAGAAUGGGCUGCAACAAAAAUUCAGUCUGCAUACAGAGGAUAUGCCACAAGAAAAGAGCUUGGAAAUAAAAAACCUAAAGAUCAUCAAAAAUCCAGUAGUAGAGAUGAGGAUGAACAAGCAGCCCUUAAAAUUCAAGCUGCAUUUCGAGGGCAUCAGCAAAGAAAGUCUUACAAUAAUACUGUAGGGUUUCAAAAACAAAAUAAUAAAAAGUUAGGUAAAAAUGAAGCAGCUGCUAAAAUCCAGGCUAGCUAUAGAAGCCACCUGUAUCAUAGAGAGAUGGGCAAUAGAACAGAGAAAAUUGAACAUAAAGCUGCGAGUAAAAUCCAGGCAGCUUAUCGUGGCCAUCAGGCACGUAAAGACAUAAACAAAGAGAACAUUGACAAAAACCACAAGCUAGCGGCAAGCAGAAUUCAAGCAGCUUACAGGGGUCAUCGGUAUCGCAAAGAAAUAGAUAAUACAAAUGAUGAGCACUACCACAGAGACCAUAUAGUUGCUGCAACUAAAAUUCAGUCAAGUUAUAGAGGUCAUCAAACACGUAAAGAAAUGACAGCAAAGCAUAAUCAAGAUGAGAUUAAAGCUGCCACCAAAAUUCAGGCUAGCUAUAAGGGUUAUCAGACACGAAAAAAUUUGAAUGCUAAAGAUUCAGAUGAACAUGCAAAGGCAGCUGCUAAAAUUCAGGCUAGCUAUAAGGGUUAUCAGACACGAAAAAAUUUGAAUGCUAAAGAUUCAGAUGAACGUGCAAAGGCAGCUGCUAAAAUUCAGGCUAGCUAUAAGGGUUAUCAGACACGAAAAAAUUUGAAUGCUAAAGAUUCAGAUGAACGUGCAAAGGCAGCUGCUAAAAUUCAGGCUAGCUAUAAGGGUUAUCAGACACGAAAAAAUUUGAAUGCUAAAGAUUCAGAUGAACGUGCAAAGGCAGCUGCUAAAAUUCAGGCUAGCUAUAAGGGUUAUCAGACACGAAAAUAUAUAAAUGAGAAUAAAGAUGCUGCUAAAACAAUUCAGGCUGCAUACAGAGGACACCAGUACCGCAGAGAUAUCAACAAUAAAGUUUCUAGUUAAGAUUUUACCCACUUCCUGUGCGCAGUCUAAUGAAAAAUACUGGCCCUAGAAAUUUCAAACAUUUUUGGAAUAAAACUCCAAUAGUUCAGCAAUGAGGUAAAAUAACAUGGAACCAUCUCUUUAUAAGGACCAUUCCAAAGAUUAUUUUUCUAUUCUUUUGAUCACUCAUUACAGAAUGCAAUCUUUUUUUUUUUUACAAUGACAGUAUUUUAUUUUUAUUAAAACUAUCUAUAUGAUCUAUAGGGUUUAUGUUCUGUAAUGUUUUAGGCUGUUAUAAAUUAAAUGUAAAAUAAUUACAUAAUUUUUAAACUAGGAAUUAUUUUACAAUGAUUAUUCAAAGAAUAAUUUUCGUAAAAUUAAAGGUUAUAAAAAAGAAUUUUCAAAUAUAAAAUUUAUUUAAAAUAAUUAAUUGAUUGUUUUGUACAUUUAAGCUGAUCCACUGCUUGAAGGAUAUUAAAUAUAUGUCAUAGUUCACACACUGCUGUUAUUUUCUCUGCUCAAUGAUGCCUUAUGCAAAGAAAACUUUACAUUAUGAUUGUACAUUUUUCUACAUCAUUCUUUCCUCUAGUUUUAUUUUUAUGUACAAGCAGUAACAACAACAUUGAGAUUUUAUUUGUAACAAUUUUGAAAGAAAGUAGACCUGGAUUUAAAUAUCAAUCAACAAGAUUUUUUAAAAAUUUAGUAUAAGAAAUGCAAUCACUUUACAAAUGUAUGAUAACAAAGAAGUAAAAGAAACCACACAAUGUUUCCUGCUAAGGUCUGUAUAGAAUAAAAAGAAUUAAAAUGAUACAAUAUUAAUUUUGAGAUUAUUAAAAGUUUCCUACAAGAAGACCAUGAGUCAGUAUAAGUACAAGUAGACCUACAUGUUUUUUACACCCUAGCCCCCCCCCCCCACACACACACACACACCAUCCCCUAAUAAUCCUAAUAAAGGCUAAUAUGGACGAGUACAAAACUUUAACAGCUCUCUCAAAACUUCCAAUAUAUCAAUUUCAUAGUGUUAUAUAUUUAAUUGAUGUUGAUGUCAUUUUAUUUAAAUGAUUUUCCUUUCCAAAUUAACCAAUACUGAUCCAGAGUAUUGAAGAUUUAAAGUAAAAAGAAUAAGUUUCUGACGUUGUUGGCUUUACUUUAGCAGUAGGCCUAUCAAAAUUAAAUAAGUCAAAGGCCCACCUUUUAGAGUCAUCUCCCUUUCUGUCAUCAUGGUUCCCCUUUUUUUUUUUUUUUUGUAGCCUACAGCUACAGUGACUUUAUUACUACUUUCUGCAGACAUGGGUCUAUAUAAGCCUACAGUGACUAAUUACCAGUUGAGCUGUUUUUAUUUUUUAACACGUUGAUGUUAACCAGUAGACAAGUCCACAUAGAACAAUCCCAUACACUCCCAUUGGACGCUUCUCCUCUCAUUCCUCUGUGUGGAGAUAGGAACAGUUGACUCCCUUAACACUCAGGUUUCUGAAAAAAUCCAGAAGAAGCCAGAUAAAUUAUCUUGAAAUUUGUUGAGGUUUACAACUAUUUUUUCCAAAUCUUAGAGCAGCAUAAUUUUACUAAAAUGAAAACUAUUUACUAUAAAAAUCUCUUCUACUUUACUAUUGCCUCUCACCUUUAGUGGGUUGCUAAUAAGCUUUAUCACAAUAUCCACUACUUAAUAACUUAUCACUAUAUUUGAUGCACAAUUUCAGGUUGUUUUUUAGUGUUUUUAUAUUGCAUGUUAAUGUUUGUUAAUUAAAAAUUUGAAAUUUUAUAAUCCUAAAAGAAAGAAUUAAACUAUGAGCAGAAGAGCAACAACUGUUUGCUGUGUUUGGAUGUUUUAACAACUUCAGGUGGUACAUCAUUUUGAUAGAUAAAAUAAUUGGGGGUAGGGGGAAAUUUUCCUUACUUUAAACCUCACUGAUAAUUUUAAGUUAAGCCUGACUGGUAUUACAAAGAAUAAUUCAACAAAUCUCAAUAGGUUCAUAACUUAAAUUACUUAUUUAAAAAUCUGAAUAGCAACAAGAAGAUUAACUUGUAUGUAUAAAGAAAAUAUCACCCUUUACCUCUCUAUAAAUCAGAUUAACAUUGGUUAGAAAUGUUAUAUUACAUUAACGUCUAAUCCUCAUGAAAAAUGCCUUAAUGUUUUUUAAAUAUAUAAUUGACAAGUUCUUGUAAAGUGAGCCAAGCAAUAAAAUGUAUGAUUAAAAUAAAAUGAUAUUGCCUACACAGUAUCUAAUCUCAUUAAUGACCAAACCUUCACUUUAUUUCACAUAAUUUUUAUGCACUAUUUUAUAAGUAGAAUUUAUGAAUUCAUGGUUUGGUUUUCUUCAUCUAGAUUUUGUGUUUUUAUGUAAUACAAAUAUUUGUGAUUUGUUAGUAUGUAUAUUAUAAAUUAUGGUCUAAAUAAGUUUACAAAGCUGUUCAUAGGAAAUGAGUUUAAAAUAAAAGUACAUUUUUAAUGGUUAAAUAAGUUGAAUAAUAAUGAGUACAAAAUUUCAAAUCUCUAAGAAGUGUAGUUAGUGACUAAAACAUACACUUUAUGCUAGGGUUUUAAAGAAAUAUUGAAGUAUUGUUUUUUUUAUUUAUUGUACUUUUAUUUUAGAAAUGUAUUAGUUUAAAUUACCACAGUUUUUAGUCUAAUUAAAUUUUGUUUAUCUAGAUGGGGAAUUCGCUUUAUUGUAUUGGGUUCUAUCAAAAUUAUUUAUAUCAUAAAUUGUGUUUGAGUGAACUUAAUAUCUCCAAUAAUGUUUAAGAUUGUUGUAUUUCAAUCAUUACAUAUUUGUUACAAUGUAUACUGAAUAAAAUUGAUUUCUUUA